rnacentral:rRNA from 1 species
AGGAAAAGAAACUAACAAGGAUUCCCCUAGUAACGGCGAGUGAAGCGGGAAGAGCUCAAAUUUGAAAUCUGGUAGCCUUCGGUUGCCCGAGUUGUAAUCUAGAGAAGUGUUUUCCGUGCCGGCCCAUGUACAAGUCCCUUGGAACAGGGCGUCAUAGAGGGUGAGAAUCCCGUCCUUGACAUGGACCCCCGGUGCUUUGUGAUACACUUUCAACGAGUCGAGUUGUUUGGGAAUGCAGCUCAAAAUGGGUGGUGAAUUCCAUCUAAAGCUAAAUAUUGGCGAGAGACCGAUAGCGAACAAGUACCGUGAGGGAAAGAUGAAAAGCACUUUGGAAAGAGAGUUAAACAGUACGUGAAAUUGUUGAAAGGGAAACGAUUGAAGUCAGUCAUGCUCUUGGGACUUACCUCCCUUGAGUGGGGUCAACAUCAGUUUUGAUCGAUGGAUAAAGGCACGGGGAAGGUAGCACUCUCGGGUGAACUUAUAGCCUCGCGUCAUAUACAUUGAUUGGGACUGAGGAACGCAGCAUGCCUUAUGGCCGGGAUUCGUCCACGUACAUG